rnacentral:rRNA from 1 species
GACGAACGCUGGCGGCGUGCUUAACACAUGCAAUUCGAACGGAAAGGCCCUGCUUUUGUGGGGUGCUCGAGUGGCGAACGGGUGAGUAACACGUGAGUAACCUGCCCUUGACUUUGGGAUAACUUCAGGAAACUGGGGCUAAUACCGGAUAGGAGCUCCUGCUGCAUGGUGGGGGUUGGAAAGUUUCGGCGGUUGGGGAUGGACUCGCGGCUUAUCAGCUUGUUGGUGGGGUAGUGGCUUACCAAGGCUUUGACGGGUAGCCGGCCUGAGAGGGUGACCGGCCACAUUGGGACUGAGAUACGGCCCAGACCCCUACGGGAGGCAGCAGUGGGGAAUAUUGCACAAUGGGCGGAAGCCUGAUGCAGCAACGCCGCGUGCGGGAUGACGGCCUUCGGGUUGUAAACCGCUUUCGCCUGUGACGAAGCGUGAGUGACGGUAAUGGGUAAAGAAGCACCGGCUAACUACGUGCCAGCAGCCGCGGUGAUACGUAGGGUGCGAGCGUUGUCCGGAUUUAUUGGGCGUAAAGGGCUCGUAGGUGGUUGAUCGCGUCGGAAGUGUAAUCUUGGGGCUUAACCCUGAGCGUGCUUUCGAUACGGGUUGACUUGAGGAAGGUAGGGGAGAAUGGAAUUCCUGGUGGAGCGGUGGAAUGCGCAGAUAUCAGGAGGAACACCAGUGGCGAAGGCGGUUCUCUGGGCCUUUCCUGACGCUGAGGAGCGAAAGCGUGGGGAGCGAACAGGCUUAGAUACCCUGGUAGUCCACGCUGUAAACGGUGGGUACUAGGUGUGGGAUCCAUUCCACGGGUUCCGUGCCGUAGCUAACGCUUUAAGUACCCCGCCUGGGGAGUACGGCCGCAAGGCUAAAACUCAAAGGAAUUGACGGGGCCCCGCACAAGCGGCGGAGCAUGCGGAUUAAUUCGAUGCAACGCGUAGAACCUUACCUGGGUUUGACAUGGAUCGGGAGUGCCCAGAGAUGGGUGUGCCUCUUUUGGGGUCGGUUCACAGGUGGUGCAUGCCUGUCGUCAGCUCGUGUCGUGAGAUGUUGGGUUAAGUCCCGCAACGAGCGCAACCCUUGUUCACUGUUGCCAGCACGUUAUGGUGGGGACUCAGUGGAGACCGCCGGGGUCAACUCGGAGGAAGGUGGGGAUGACGUCAAGUCAUCAUGCCCCUUAUGUCCAGGGCUUCACGCAUGCUACAAUGGCUGGUACAGAGAGUGGCGAGCCUGUGAGGGUGAGCGAAUCUCGGAAAGCCGGUCUCAGUUCGGAUUGGGGUCUGCAACUCGACCUCAUGAAGUCGGAGUCGCUAGUAAUCGCAGAUCAGCAACGCUGCGGUGAAUACGUUCCCGGG